rnacentral:tRNA from 1 species
GCCGCCGUAGCUCAGCCGGCAGAGCGCCGGGCUCAUACGGCUUUAUAGAACCGGGGUCGCCUGAGAAACCCGGAGGUCGCGGGUUCGAAUCCCGCCGGCGGCA